rnacentral:rRNA from 1 species
GACGAACGCUGGCGGCGUGCCUAAUACAUGCAAGUCGAACGCAGUGGGGACGGGUGAGUAACACGUGGGUAACCUCCCAUCAGAGGGGAUAACACUUGGAAACAGGUGCUAAACCGAUCCUGAUGGAUGAACCAGCGGUGCAUUAGCUAGUUGGUGAGGGAACGGCUCACCAAGGCCACGAUGCAUAGUCGACCUGUGAGGGGGAUGGGCCGAACUGUGAGUAAGACACGGACCAGACUCCUACGGGAGGCAGCAGUAGGGAAUCUUCGGAAAUGGACGAAAGUGUGACCGAGCAACGCCGCGUGAGUGAAGAAGGUUUUCGGAUCGUAAAACUCUGUUGUUAGAGAAGCGGUAUCUAACCAGAAAGCCACGGCUAACUACGUGCCAGCAGCCGCGGUAAUAC